rnacentral:rRNA from 1 species
GGUUAAGCGACUAAGCGUACACGGUGGAUGCCUAGGCAAUCAGAGGCGAUGAAGGACGUGCUAAUCUGCGAAAAGCGUCGGUAAGGUGAUAUGAACCGUUAUAACCGACGAUGUCCGAAUGGGGAAACCCAGUGCAAUUCGUUGCACUAUCGUUUGAUGAAUCCAUAGUCAAACGAGGCGAACCGGGGGGAACUGAAACAUCUCAGUACCCCGAGGAAAAGAAAUCAACCGAGAUUCCCCUAGUAGCGGCGAGCGAACGGGGAGCAGCCCAGAGUCUUAAUCAGCAUCAGCAUCAGGAGAACGGUCUGGAAAGGCCGGCAAUAAAGGGUGAUAGCCCCGUAUCCGAAGGUGUUGGUGUUGUGAACUCGAUGAGUAGGGCGGGACACGUGUUAUCCUGUCUGAAUAUGGGGGGGACCAUCCUCCAAGGCUAAAUACUCCUGAUUGACCGAUAGUGAACCAGUACCGUGAGGGAAAGGCGAAAAGAACCCCGGCGAGGGGAGUGAAAUAGAACCUGAAACCGUGUACGUACAAGCAGUGGGAGCCUUGAUUUAUCAGGGUGACUGCGUACCUUUUGUAUAAUGGGUCAGCGACUUAUAUUCUGUAGCAAGGUUAACCGAAUAGGGGAGCCGUAGGGAAACCGAGUCUUAACUGGGCGAAUGAGUUGCAGGGUAUAGACCCGAAACCCGGUGAUCUAGCCAUGGGCAGGUUGAAGGUUGGGUAACACUAACUGGAGGACCGAACCGACUAAUGUUGAAAAAUUAGCGGAUGACUUGUGGCUGGGGGUGAAAGGCCAAUCAAACCGGGAGAUAGCUGGUUCUCCCCGAAAGCUAUUUAGGUAGCGCCUCGUGAACUCAUCUUCGGGGGUAGAGCACUGUUUCGGCUAGGGGGGUCAUCCCGACUUACCAACCCGAUGCAAACUACGAAUACCGAAGAAUGUUAUCACGGGAGACACACGGCGGGUGCUAACGUUCGUCGUGAAGAGGGAAACAACCCAGACCGCCAGCUAAGGUCCCAAAGUCAUGGUUAAGUGGGAAACGAAGUGGGAAGGCUCAGACAGCCAGGAUGUUGGCUUAGAAGCAGCCAUCAUUUAAAGAAAGCGUAAUAGCUCACUGGUCGAGUCGGCCUGCGCGGAAGAUGUAACGGGGCUAAACCAUGCACCGAAGCUGCGGCAGCGACAUGUAAAUGUUGUUGGGUAGGGGAGCGUUCUGUAAGCCUGUGAAGGUGUGCUGCGAGGCAUGCUGGAGGUAUCAGAAGUGCGAAUGCUGACAUAAGUAACGAUAAUGCGGGUGAAAAACCCGCACGCCGGAAGACCAAGGGUUCCUGUCCAACGUUAAUCGGGGCAGGGUGAGUCGACCCCUAAGGCGAGGCAGAAAUGCGUAGUCGAUGGGAAACAGGUUAAUAUUCCUGUACUGGUGAUAAUUGCGAUGGGGGGGACGGAGAAGGCUAGGCUGGCCGGGCGACGGUUGUCCCGGUUUAAGGAUGUAGGUGGGCGAAUUAGGCAAAUCCGGUUCGCUAUACACUGAGGUCUGAUGACGAGUCACUACGGUGGCGAAGUAGCUCAUGCCCCGCUUCCAGGAAAAGCCUCUAAGCUCUAGAUUAUCAUUAAUCGUACCCCAAACCGACACAGGUGGUCAGGUAGAGAAUACUCAGGCGCUUGAGAGAACUCGGGUGAAGGAACUAGGCAAAAUGGUGCCGUAACUUCGGGAGAAGGCACGCUGGCAUUAGGUGAAGUGGUUUACCCAUGGAGCUGAAGCCAGUCGCAGAUACCAGCUGGCUGCAACUGUUUAUUAAAAACACAGCACUGUGCAAACACGAAAGUGGACGUAUACGGUGUGACGCCUGCCCGGUGCUGGAAGGUUAAUUGAUGGGGUUAUCCGUAAGGAGAAGCUCUUGAUCGAAGCCCCAGUAAACGGCGGCCGUAACUAUAACGGUCCUAAGGUAGCGAAAUUCCUUGUCGGGUAAGUUCCGACCUGCACGAAUGGCGUAAUGAUGGCCAGGCUGUCUCCACCCGAGACUCAGUGAAAUUGAACUCGCUGUGAAGAUGCAGUGUACCCGCGGCAAGACGGAAAGACCCCGUGAACCUUUACUAUAGCUUGACACUGAACAUUGAGCCUUGAUGUGUAGGAUAGGUGGGAGGCUUUGAAGUGUGGACGCCAGUCUGCAUGGAGCCAACCUUGAAAUACCACCCUUUAAUGUUUGAUGUUCUAACGUUGCCCCAUAAUCUGGGGUGCGGACAGUGUCUGGUGGGUAGUUUGACUGGGGCGGUCUCCUCCCAAAGCGUAACGGAGGAGCACGAAGGUUGGCUAAGCAUGGUCGGACAUCAUGCGGUUAGUGCAAAGGCAUAAGCCAGCUUGACUGCGAGAGUGACGGCUCGAGCAGGUACGAAAGUAGGUCUUAGUGAUCCGGUGGUUCUGAAUGGAAGGGCCAUCGCUCAACGGAUAAAAGGUACUCCGGGGAUAACAGGCUGAUACCGCCCAAGAGUUCAUAUCGACGGCGGUGUUUGGCACCUCGAUGUCGGCUCAUCACAUCCUGGGGCUGAAGUAGGUCCCAAGGGUAUGGCUGUUCGCCAUUUAAAGUGGUACGCGAGCUGGGUUUAGAACGUCGUGAGACAGUUCGGUCCCUAUCUGCCGUGGGCGUUGGAAGAUUGAAAGGGGCUGCUCCUAGUACGAGAGGACCGGAGUGGACGCACCGCUGGUGUUCGGGUUGUCAUGCCAAUGGCACUGCCCGGUAGCUAAGUGCGGAAGAGAUAACCGCUGAAAGCAUCUAAGCGGGAAACUUGCCUUGAGAUGAGUCUUCCCUGACUCUUUAAGGGUCCUAAAGGAACGUUUAAGACGAAGACGUUGAUAGGCUGGGUGUGUAAGCGUAGCGAUACGUUGAGCUAACCAGUACUAAUGAACCGUGAGGCUUAACCUG